GUUCGUUCAGUUCCUUCCGUGCCACCUCCGCUCGCCAGAUUCAGCUUUUUUUUUUAACCUCCAUAUGCCCGCAAGACACUGCACCAAUCCUGUCACAAGGCUGAUGUCGCCCAAAGCAAAGGUUGUGGCAUUGUGCGAUCGAGACCUCUGGUACAUAAUGAUGUGUUGUGUUAUCUUACACAACAUGAUAAUAGAGGAUGAGCGAGAAGAGGAUGAGGACUUUAACUACUACCAGGAGCCGGGCGGCCUCCCAGAGUUGGCACCCGAGGACUACCAAACACGUGAUCCGAUUCUGGUACAAGAGUUCCUCAAGAACCAUAAAGCAAUCGAGGAUAAAUCAGCGCACGAGCAACUACGAAACGAUCUUGUGGAGCAUCUUUGGGCAAUUCAUAGCUCCAAAUAGCGCAACAAUUAUGGUCAUCAGGGGCCUCUUCAGAAGAUCUGGGACCUGAACAAUGAGAUCUUCAGAAAUUGUCAUGCAUACUAUGGAAACAUGUGCUAUGGAAAGUGAAUUCAGUGAACAUUUGUUAGGCUAUUUAGAUUUCUUAGAUCAGUGUGUUUCAGUGAACAUGUGCUUCUGUAAUGAAUAUUUCUUACUCAAACAAGAAUGUUUCUUAGAUCAGUGUGUUUCAGUGAACA